UGCUUGUCUCAAAGAUUAAGCCAUGCAUGUCUAAGCAUAAACCGAAUAUGGUAAAGCCGCGAAUGGCUCAUUACAACAGCCAUAGUUUAUUGGAUCUUAGAGUCCUACUUGGAUACCUGUGGUAAUUCCACAGCUAAUACACGCAAUCAAGCCUCAACCUUACGGGCGGGGCGCAUUUAUUAGAACAAAACCAAUUGGCUUCGGCCAUAGAUUGGUGAAUCUGAAUAACUACGCUGAUCGCACGGGCUUGUCCCGGCGACGUAUCCUUCAAGUGUCUGCCUUAUCAACUUUCGAUGGUAGUUUAUAUGACUACCAUGGUUGUAACGGGUAACGGAGAAUAAGGGUUCGACUCCGGAGAGGGAGCCUGAGAAACGGCUACCACAUCCRAGGAAGGCAGCAGGCA
rnacentral:rRNA from 1 species